rnacentral:rRNA from 1 species
GUGGGGAAUUUUGGACAAUGGGCGCAAGCCUGAUCCAGCAAUGCCGCGUGUGUGAAGAAGGCCUUCGGGUUGUAAAGCACUUUUGGCAGGAAAGAAAUAGUGCGUGCUAAUACCAUGCGCGAAUGACGGUACCUGCAGAAUAAGCACCGGCUAACUACGUGCCAGCAGCCGCGGUAAGACGUAGGGUGCAAGCGUUAAUCGGAAUUACUGGGCGUAAAGCGUGCGCAGGCGGUUUUGUAAGACAGGUGUUAAAUCCCCGGGCUCAACCUGGGAACUGCACUUGUGACUGCAAGGCUAGAGUGUGUCAGAGGGAGGUGGAAUUCCGCGUGUAGCAGUGAAAUGCGUAGAGAUGCGGAGGAACACCGAUGGCGAAGGCAGCCUCCUGGGAUAACACUGACGCUCAGGCACGAAAGCGUGGGGAGCAAACAGGAUUAGAAACCCGGGUAGUCC